rnacentral:tRNA from 1 species
GUGGGAGAAAUGGCUCAGUGCUUAAGAGCACUUGUAGUUCUUGCAGAGGACCCAGGUUCAAUUCCUGGCACCCACA